rnacentral:rRNA from 1 species
GAUGAACGCUGGCGGCGUGCCUAAUACAUGCAAGUCGAGCGAACAGACGAGGAGCUUGCUCCUCUGACGUUAGCGGCGGACGGGUGAGUAACACGUGGAUAACCUACCUAUAAGACUGGGAUAACUUCGGGAAACCGGAGCUAAUACCGGAUAAUAUAUUGAACCGCAUGGUUCAAUAGUGAAAGACGGUUUUGCUGUCACUUAUAGAUGGAUCCGCGCCGCAUUAGCUAGUUGGUAAGGUAACGGCUUACCAAGGCAACGAUGCGUAGCCGACCUGAGAGGGUGAUCGGCCACACUGGAACUGAGACACGGUCCCGACUCCUACGGGAGGCAGCAGUAGGGAACCUUCCGCAAUGGGCGAAAGCCUGACGGAGCAACGCCGCGUGAGUGAUGAAGGUCUUCGGAUCGUAAAACUCUGUUAUUAGGGAAGAACAAAUGUGUAAGUAACUAUGCACGUCUUGACGGUACCUAAUCAGAAAGCCACGGCUAACUACGUG